GUACACUCCUACGGGAGGCAGCAGUGGGGAAUAUUGCACAAUGGGCGCAAGCCUGAUGCAGCCAUGCCGCGUGUAUGAAGAAGGCCUUCGGGUUGUAAAGUACUUUCAGCGGGGAGGAAGGCGAUAAGGUUAAUAACCUUGUCGAUUGACGUUACCCGCAGAAGAAGCAACGGCUAACUCCGUGCCAGCAGCCGCGGUAAUACGGAGGGUGCAAGCGUUAAUCGGAAUUACUGGGCGUAAAGCGCACGCAGGCGGUCUGUCAAGUCGGAUGUGAAAUCCCCGGGCUCAACCUGGGAACUGCAUUCGAAACUGGCAGGCUAGAGUCUUGUAGAGGGGGGUAGAAUUCCAGGUGUAGCGGUGAAAUGCGUAGAGAUCUGGAGGAAUACCGGUGGCGAAGGCGGCCCCCUGGACAAAGACUGACGCUCAGGUGCGAAAGCGUGGGGAGCAAACAGGAUUAGAUACCCCGGUAGUCCCAU
rnacentral:rRNA from 1 species